UACGGAGGGUGCAAGCGUUGUCCGGAUUUAUUGGGUUUAAAGGGUGCGUAGGUGGCCUAUUAAGUCAGUGUUUAAAGUCUGCAGCUUAACUGUAGUUAUGGCAUUGAUACUGAUAGGCUUGAGUAAAGUUGAGGUAGGCGGAAUUGAAGGUGUAGCGGUGAAAUGCAUAGAUAUCUUCAAGAACACCGAUUGCGAAGGCAGCUUACUAAGCUUUAACUGACACUGAGGCACGAAAGCGUGGGGAUCAAACAGG
rnacentral:rRNA from 1 species